rnacentral:lncRNA from 1 species
CUGGUCUCUGAGUGUCUGUCCCAGGGAGAGAUGAGGGUGUCCUGCUCCUCUGAGGGAGGGGACAGUCCUCUGUACAGCUGGACUCUGGAUGGACGCACACUGACAGAUGCUGAGCUCCUUUCUGGAAAUAAUGAGACUAACAACAUCACUCUGAAACAGCACAUCUCAGGACAUCUGGUCUGCUCAGUCAGGAACAACGUCAGUAAUGUCUCAGAAGAACAGAAGACCUGUAGUUUCAUUAACUGCACCUCAAUCAAUGAGACACAGAUAGUAGGGUGGGUGCAUGCAAACAGAAACAACCUGUGUAUUGAACCAACAACUGAACCUACACCAGUCACACCAACUGCAGUGGGUACUUCCUGGUUCAUAUUUGGCUUGAAAGCCGCUGUGGUAAUUCUGUCAUUAAGUGGGAUUUGGAUCUGGUUCACUUGGAAGAAAAAAACAAUAUUGGAAGUCUCUGCUGUUCCACAAAGGAUGGAAUCUCCAGAUAACUCUGUUUUAAUGAUUGAAAUGAGUCCUUACUCCAACACCUAGUGUCACCUUUCACCUGCUGUAUCGGAUAUCCGUGUAGGUGUGGAAAUAAAAACAUUUUUUCACAAGAUAACAACUGUGUAUAAAUGUCCAUAAAAAUGUGGUUCUUUCUGUAAUUUCUGUAAUUUUAUAUUUAGG